AGAGUUUGAUCCUGGCUCAGGAUGAACGCUAGCGGGAGGCCUAAUACAUGCAAGUCGAGCGGUAACUUUCUUCGGGAAGCUAGAGCGGCGCACGGGUGAGUAACGCGUACAUGACCUGCCUUUAAGACCGGGAUAGCCCUGGGAAACUGGGAUUAAUACCGGAUGUGAUAAUAGAUAUAAAGAUUUAUUAUUAAAGUUGAGGCGCUUAGAGAUGGAUGUGCGUCUGAUUAGCUAGUUGGUAGGGUAACGGCCUACCAAGGCGACGAUCAGUAGGGGGCGUGAGAGCGUGGCCCCCCACACGGGUACUGAGACACGGACCCGACUCCUACGGGAGGCAGCAGUAAGGAAUAUUGGUCAAUGGACGAAAGUCUGAACCAGCCAUCCCGCGUGCAGGAUGAAGGUCCUAUGGAUUGUAAACUGCUUUUAGCAGAGAAGAAAAGCAUUCAUUUAUGAGUGUCUGACGGUAUCUGCGGAAUAAGCACCGGCUAACUCCGUGCCAGCAGCCGCGGUAAUACGGAGGGUGCAAGCGUUAUCCGGAAUCACUGGGUUUAAAGGGUGCGUAGGCGGAAUAUUAAGUCAGUGGUGAAAGCCUGUCGCUUAACGAUAGAACUGCCAUUGAUACUGAUAUUC
rnacentral:rRNA from 1 species